rnacentral:piRNA from 1 species
UCUUAAGAUGGCUGCUCUUGGCUCCCAGG